rnacentral:rRNA from 1 species
UACGAAGGGUGCAAGCGUUACUCGGAAUUACUGGGCGUAAAGCGUGCGUAGGUGGUGAGUUAAGUCUGUCGUGAAAGCCCCGGGCUCAACUUGGGAAUGGCGAUGGAUACUGGCUCGCUAGAGUGCGGUAGAGGUGAGUGGAAUUCCCAGUGUAGCGGUGAAAUGCGUAGAUAUUGGGAGGAACACCAGUGGCGAAGGCGGCUCACUGGACCGGUACUGACGCUGAUGCGCGAAAGCGUGGGGAGCAAACAGG